AUUGCUCUCAUCACCCUGCGCUGUUGUUCUGCAAGAAGGGCCCUUUUACUCCCAGUCAGGUGGCUCUUCCUACCUGCUGGCCAUUGUCUCCAAGUGUUAAGAAAACAUUCGGGGGGGGGUAUCGUGUGACUGCAUGAUGCACGAGUUGGUGAGGGUGAAUGGGACAUGGGAACGGCUCCUUCAGUUCACAGAUUAAUGGAGCUGAGAAACAUCUGGCUAAUCUGUCUGCUAAAAUGUAGUUCACAAGAAACACAGUGAGGAUGAACUCUCUGCCAGCUGAAACUGCUAAUUUGGCUGCAAGGUGAGUUUCGCACAUGUAUAGGUACGUUACAAUGCUUCUUUUCACAUAUCCCAACCUGCCUCCUUUAAAAUAUAGACACAUAGAUAUAGCUGAGAGUGAAGCUUGGGAUCUGAGGACAGGGUCAGGUCAUUUAUUCAUUUAUCUGCCAGCAUUUCGGGGGUUAAAGGCAAGGCAAAUUGGUAUAUAAUGAAUUUAUAUAUAUAUAGAACAUUCAUAACAUUCAUAGAACAUUAAUAAGCAGUUUGUAAGUAUACCUUAAUAUGAAGGUGUACUUAAUGUAAGUCAUUACCCAUGUUUGUUAUUAAUGUAUAUUACAACUGUCAUAUCCAUUGUUAUGAGUGCAAUGCUUUAAAACACAUUAAGGUAUACUUACGUGCUGCUUAUGAAUGUUUUAUGAAUGCUUUAUAAAUUGUUUAUCAAGACACACUAAUAUAAAGCGUUGCAGAAUAUAUUAAAAGUAAAAGAUACUGAAAUCACAUUUAUGAUGAUUUUACUAUUCUGCCAGGGAUUUGAACCAGUGACCUUCCGAUCACAGGCACAGAGGCCACGCCCCCCCCCCCCCCCCCGUGAGUCUGCAUGUCAGGAGGGGCUGAGAAUCCUCCCACAGUGACCUGCUGUGACAGAUGCCAAGCUCACGGGUAUUUGCCCUCACUUCUGGGUCAGGACGAGUGCACCUGAGGUGGGCCUGGAACCUACAGUCCUCCUCGCCGGCACUGAGCAGUGGAGGUGCAGCGUGAGAGCUGGCGGUUCAUUAGCGUCCGCUGUUCGCUCACUUUAUUAUCUGCUGUUUCCUCGCACCAGCUUAAUUGCUUGUGCUGAUGGAAUAAUAAAUGGCAGAGUAAUUACCAUUAUAAAGAGGGGAUCCUUCACGUUACAGAAUGGUGCAGUCAAAGGAUUUUAUUCUAAAUUAAGUUUUUAACUGUCAUCUGUCAUCUCUGGGAUAAUUAUAACUUGGGCAUUUUAGGUACAUUGUUCUCACAAUCUGUAAACCCAGACAGAAAAGUUGUGACUGCAGAUUUCUUGAGUACAUCAAAAAAAGAGAGAGGAUUUAAAAAAAAAAUAAAAAACAUGGAUUUUUGAAGCGUUCAAGUGUUGCAAUAGUGCUGCUGUCUUCGAGGGAAAGAGGGCUCUGUCUUUAUCAUAGGUGGCUGGGUGUGAUCUGUGGCUUUGUUGCUGUUCAGAUGGUCCUUUUUACCUGCUUCCACUAUCUAACUGGUGCAGUCAGGGCUUCUUUCAGAGGCCAGUAGGGCGGCGCUGUUGCGGAGGCCUACCAUGGAUGAAGAGAUGGAACCGUGAUCCUACAUGCUCACCCUCAGAACAUCACAUUUACCUCACCUGCUGGUAACAUUCCCGAAACAGGAACCACUGAGGACACCGGCCCCCAGUCCCCCAGGAUUUGGAGAAAUGCAGGCUCCGGGGCUGGAAGCAUGUUCUGGCAGAUACGUGUAGGUGACAGCGAGCCUGGCAGCAAAGGGCAGCCACCUGCAGCGACACCCAGGAGCCUGGGGGGUUUAGGGCUUUGCUCAAGGGCCCACAGACAUGACUGUUCUGCCGAGGCCAGGCUCAAACCAACAACCUUCUGAUCACAGGCAGGGAGGCUUAGCCCACUGAGCUACACACCAUCCCCUAAAGAAGAAACAGAAUGGAAUGUCACCCCAGAGGAUCCAUUCUCGAACGGAAAAGCAGGUCUUUGUUUCAGAACCAAAUCAGGAAGCGGGCCAGACCACCGUAAUAUCAUCUCUGUUUGUUUUCAUUUGGAAAAAAUAACCCCCCCCCCCCCACCCAGACAAAAGCACAGGUCCCAUAAACACUGCUAUUUAAGAUUAGAGACCCACCACCCACCACACACUAUGUAUGAAUUGGAGGAGCUUUUCUGAAGAAGUGUAUUACUCUCCAGAUACUUCAUUAAUCUUCAUCACAGGCAGCAGGCCUGACGUGCCUGACAGCAGGGACAAAGCGGCCGGCUCCGCUCCCACAUCUACAGAUAAUGCAUGUUUUACAGUAGCCCAGAUGUCUACACUCAAUAAAACAUGUGACAGAACCAGCCGGACUGUGUUUGGGGAUGUCUGUAUUGACUGGUGGCUUGGCGUGCUCGGGGCGAUACCAGGACCUGCAGGGGACUGAUUACGGAAUUAAAAGACGAGGGUGACAGAGGGGCCGGCCGUGUGGGAACGCUGGGAAUUGUGCUUUUGGAGAGACUCCUUUAUUGGCCAGAGAAAGGCUGGGUCACUGAUAAUUUCAUACAGGACGGUGGAGGGGGGGCUGUUUAUUAUCUCAGGUGGACGAUUCCUACUGUCUGGGUGAUGACAACAGAAGCAGGUCUGAAGCUUCGCCUGGUCGGCUUGGCCCAAAACGUCUUUAGCACGACUAUAAGGAUGUUUUCGUUUCUGGUUUACGUCGAUGUGUCUUCUCCCUGAAUAACACCCGACGUCUGGGAAAGCCUGCGAUAUUAUCCAGCCAGUUGGCCCGGAGACGUGAAUGCCAUUUCGCUUGAAAGUUGUAUUUUCAUUAAAAGCUGAAUGUUUGUGACUCUAUUUCCAGCCGUCAGAGAACAUGAGGAGGGAAACUGCAGCCAAGUCAGACGUUCAGCCUCCUCCUUCUCAAUUCAAACAUCAUAAAAGUGUUUUUGUGCAGCUUUCGAAAAUCAACGUCGAAAUUCAGCUGUAAUGUUCCCUUCCCUCCUCCGCAGUUUUUCCCGUAACCUUAUGUGAGGGAUUUUCGCUGAUAGAAUUGUCUGGGUGCUGCCGCUGCAGAAUGCACGAUUGCUCUCACCGCAGGAGCGCGCUCAGAUCGAAUCAAGCCUCUAAGGAGAAUAUUUCUCUUGCAAACACCCCUCUCUCCGCAGAAAAUGAGGCGGUACACCAGCGGCUGCUUGGAGAUUGGAUAAAAAUGGCCACUCGGCGAGAACCACGAGAUGUGCGAUGGAUCUGAAGAGUGUGCUGUUCCAAAACGAUUCAAAUUUGCGUGCUAGGAGUUUUCUGCUCUCUGAGAUAUGCUGCAACAAUAUGAAAAGUAGAUCUUAAAGUCUAUCUUGUGGAUAGGUUUUCAGUACAUACAGUUUGCUCGCUAAUUCUAGCUUAAUGUUGUGAACAAAUGCAAUAAUUGGGCAUGCGCAGGAAUGCCGUGCAAUCAUUUGUAAGGGUAAGCUGUCCUGACAUCCAGUGGGAUAAAUACUAGCAUGGUAACAGGUAAUCGGGACAAAAAUACUCAGGUCACUCUGGGGUCUUGAAUUAGAUGACAGUCAUUGUUUCUCAUACAUCUAGUUAACAUUACUGUUAUGCUUUCUGCAGUCCUUAGCACUAGAUAAUCUCCAGCUAGAAUGAGGGUUAAACUCUCCCUGAGCAGCACUGACGUCAUUGAAAGUUUGACACAUACCUCUUUAAUUAUUUUAUCAGCAUAACGUUGCUCUCUGACCUACCUAUCAACAACCGUACAUGGGACAAAAAUGAAUAUUUCCUGUUCAAGGGCACAGUGCCCCCCCCCCCUUCCUAAAAUGCAGACCUUCAACUCAGCAGAUAUAUGUCUAUACCUUCAAGACAUACAUACAAUUUUAUGAAUAUAUAAUUCUCUGCAUCAUAUCUAUACAUGAUAUAUACACCGUAUUAUCUGCCAGUCUCAGCCACCGAUUUGCAUGGGGUGGGGCGAAACUCCAAGGGGGGUGCUGUGCUAGCGUCUCAGCAGGACAUCUCACUAGCGCCCCCUGUUGACACGAGGCCCGCCACUUCUUCAACAGCUUCUGCUGCCUUUAUAUUUUAAUUUUGUAACUGGUGCCAAAUGGCCUUUGGCUGAUGGGAGGAUGGGGGGGGGGGUCAGUA